AAGAACCUAGACGUGGUUAUCCUCCGUACAUUCACGUUGGCGACCCAUGAGCCUAUAAAAACCGACUCUUCCAACCAUUUCCAACAUCCCACAACCUGUUUCGAUACCCUUCACACAACUCGACACCCUCACUAUUCGAUAACAUCUUUCGUAGAACUUCGCACUCUUGCCUGGACAACCGGAGCUUCGCCGGAAGGAAACAAACAUUGCCGGAGGACCUGCUAGUCACCGGUGAUACGCGUAGUUUUCAUCGGAAUUCGACUCGACUCGCGUUCGGUUAACCGUUUUGUUCGUUCGGAAAUCCUUAUUUUAUACUCGUACGAAUCUCCUUAUACGCAACCACUGUGAACAGGUACGAAGAGAAGAUUGGACAUAGGAUGUGCCUUAGUUAACAAGAAACGGAUUAGUGUAGUUUAUUUAUGUCUCGCGUUUGUAAUUGUUUAUUUGAAUAAAUUGUUUUGUGAAACA